AUCUCCACUGGGAAAUCUCCACCAGGGAAUCUCCACCGGGGAAUCUCCACCAGAAUCUCCACUGGGGAAUCUCCACCAGGAAAUGUCCACCAGAAUCUCCACUGGGGAAUCUCCACCAGGGAUUUGUGUCUCUUUGUGUCUCUGGAGAAGCCAAACUCCCCGUGCAAGAGCUCAGGUUCCCCAACAGGGCUCGUGUUUUAGGAACUCAAUCCAUGGAGGGGCCAAAACCCCCCUCUGGGGCAGAACUGGAGCGACAGGAGCGGGGCUGGAAUCGUCACUGGGACACAGAAACCCAAAAUACCGGCGGGAGGGGCAGGCGCACCCUGGCAUGGGAAGGAGGGAAUUCCGGGGGAAUUCUGGCUGGAUUCUGGGGAAUGAGGAUAAAAGCCCCGCUGGAAANCCGGGGCCCCUCCUGUCCCUCAGUUCCUCAUUGCCUAACGAGGCUGAUUUAGAUUAUCUCGCUAAUGAGUCAUUAGAUUCUCGAGCUCGGGGCUCGUUAAGGAACCUUUGUCCCGCCCCCCCCCCCCCCCCCCCCCCCCCCCCUUUGUCCCGCCUCUUCCUUCCGGAAACCCGGGCCGCUUUUGGUGAGAACACCCAGAAUCUGGGGACAAACCCAUUUUCCAAAGUAUUCAUCUAUAAAAUAAUUAAGAAACUGAGGUUAAUUAGCCUCGAGCAGCCCCAGGUUUAAUUUCUAUUUGGUCCAGCUCCUCCCUGCUCUAAACUCUUUUCUCCCCCCAUGCUCUGUCCAGUUUUUAUUUAUUUUGGGGGUUUUUCCUCCCCAAACCCAUCCCGGGACGAAGCCGUUUGUGAUUAAUUAACCCCAGGGAACGUGAUUAAUUAACCCCAGCACGAGAGACUUUUGCUGGGGACGUGGCUCUGUGUCCCCUCCUGUCCCUCAAACCCUCCCCAGCUGCUGCUCAGGCAAACAGCUCGAAGGGAAUCCAGCCCAGAGCGGCUCAUUUUGGGCGGCUCUCAGUGGUCCUGGGGCGUUUCCAGCGUGGCGUGGGUUGGGACAACGUGGAUGCACUUUUUUUUCCUGGAUUUCACCCCAAUUUUCCUUGGGUUUCACCCCAAUCAGUGAUUUAAAGCUGGAGCUGUUUGUGCCCCGCCAGGAAUUGCGAAACUGUCGCUGCUGGAGUUGUUUUGAAAUAACCAAAAUCAGCCAAAAUUUUUUUCCCCCCCCCCCCCAGUUUUGGUCCUUUUCUCGCCCAGAUUUUUCCCUUCCACAACCCAGGGCUGGAUUUUGGGGUGUUCCAGUUUUAAUUCCCCCCAUUCAUCCCCCUCUGCUCCAGUCCUGGAAAAGCUCCUUUAAUUUGUCAGAUUUUGGGGGGUUUUUUUACCAUGAAAAUGUGAUUUUCUUUUUAUCACCCCUCUCCUCCUUCCCCUCUCCCCUCCCUCCUGCACCUCUCACACCACACUUGCAACAAACCCCUAAAACUAUCCCCAAAAUUAUUGUCAUUAUCACUGAAAUUAUCCCAAAUAUCGCUUUAUCCCUGAAACGUUUUUUUUUUCCCCCCCAAUCUCAUCUCCUGCAGAUCGGCCCCCCCCCCCCCCCCCCCCCCCCCCCCCCCCCCCCCCCCCCCCCCCCCCCCCCCCCCCCCCCCCCCCCCCCCCCCCCCCCCCCCCCCCCCCCCCCCCCCCCCCCCCCCCC
ensembl:lncRNA